AUGGUUUCUAUUUCUUUUGUUCAAUCUGGCUAGGAUUUCUGGUACUAUACUGAACAGAAGUAGUUUUGUUCCUUCCUUGUAUUGUUCCUAAUCUAGGGGACAACUUUUUUUUUUUUUUUUUUUUUUUUUUUUUGUCUUUUUCAUUUUUAUCGGUACCAGGGAUCGAACUCACGACUGCCUGCUUACAAAGCAGGCGCUCAUGCCACUGAGCUAAAUCCCCAGCCCCCUAGGGGAAAACUUUUUAGUGUUUUAUUUUUGAGUAGGAGGUCAGCAGUGGUUUUUUUGUAUGUGGGCUUUACUAUGCUGAGAAAAUUUUCUUCUACUUCUAGUGUUUCUUUUUUAAAUAGAGAAAAGGUUUUGGCUUUUGUCAAAUAUUUUAUCUGCAUCUGUUGAGGUGAGUAUUUUGUUUUAUCCUUCAUUAUUUUAAUGUGUAUCACACUGAUUUUUCAUAGGUUACGAUGUCUUUCUUCCUUGAGAUAAACUUAUUCAUUUAUUUAUUCGCACUGGGGAUCAAACUCAUGGCCUUGUGCUUGUGUACAGGCAGGUGCUUGUGCUGCUGAGAUAAGUUCCCAGCCUGAGAGAAUGAGGUUUUUAAAUAGGCUGUUGAAUUCAAUUUGCUACUAUUUUGUGGAAUUAUUCUAUAUCACUGAUACUACAGAUAUUAAUCUUUUCUUUUUUUCAUAUUCUUCCUGGUUUUUGUAUCAGAAUUUUAUCAGAUUUAUAGCAUUAGUUUGAAGGUAUUCCUAUUGUUAAUUUUUUGGAAAUACUUGAUGAUUGAUAGUAAUUCUUGAAAUGUUUCACAAAAUACUGUGAAAUGUGGCUAUCCAGUGCCGGACAUUUUUUCUUGGGAGUUUUUUGAUUAUGAAUUCUAUCUGCCUAGUUAUAAGUUUGUUCAUAUAUUCAGUUUCUUCAUGAUUAAGUAUUAGUGGUUUGUAUUUUUCAAGGAUUAAUUUCUUUUAGAUUACCCAUUUUACUCAUAUGCCUCUUAAAUUUCUUGUUUCUGUGGUAUCACUUGCAACAUUAUCAUUUUUAUCUCUGACUUUAGUUGGGUCUUUUCUAUUUUAUUAGUCUCCUUAAAGAACUUUCAUAUAAUAGAAGUCAGUAGUAUUACUACAAAUAGUUCUUAUAAAACCAAAACCAAAACCAAAAAAAAACUAAACUCAAGUUUAACUAAGCCUGAAAAGUUAACUUUAUUUACUGAUACUAUAUUUAGAAAGAAAUAAUUUAAACAUCAGGAGAAAGUAGGUACAUUUGAAAAGUUGAGAUAAUCUUUUGCAUAAUUGAUUUAGUUUCUGCUACUUUUCAACAAUAAGCAGAGAAAAAACAAGACAGGACUGCCUUCAGUCUAAAAGACAUGAAAUUCACAGUGGUGUGUAUGAAUUUUAGAUAAUUAUUUGGAUCAUUAAUUAUAAAACAACACCCUUUAGUCAACUGGGAAAAUUUGAUUAUUGUAUGAUAUAUACAAAGAAUUGUUAAUUUUGUUAGAUAUUUAAAUAGUUUUGUGGAGUUGUAAGGAAACUAGAGAUACACAGUGAAUGAUAACAAGAUAACACGUUAUAAAAUGGGUUUAAAUUUUUUUUGCUUAAAAAUAUUUUAGCAAAGAAAUCUGGUAAAACACAAAUAGCAAUAAAUUCAACAAGAGGUAUGUAUGUUUGAUAGCUGUGAACUCGGGUUGGUCUAUGUGUUGUUUUCUUCAUUUUAAUGUAUGAUUCAAAUUUAAAACAUUUUAAAUGUAGUGAAUAUUUCUAUUACUUGUGUUGGUUGGUAAGGACUUUCAAAACUGACAAAUAUAGAAAACACAAAGAAAAAUCUAAAGAUAUAAUCACACAGACCAGAUGAAAUCGGGUGCAUUCAGGUCGGUAUGGCCAUGAUAUAAUCACAUAGAAGCUGAAAGUUUUAUAAUGAAAAAUAAGCAUUAAAAAGCUAUACUUGGACAUGAUUUGUAACAUAAAGAUAGAAAAAUAUUCUUUGUUAUAACAUUUUUAAAUGCGAAAAUGACAAGUAGGAAAGAUGAGAAUAGAAAAAAUUGCCAAUAUAGGCCCCAUUCUAUUUUAAAAAUUUACCAAAGAAGGAAAUGAAAUAGCAUUAUUUAUCAAUGAAAGAUAAUUUUUUAGAAAUGAUUUUUUUAAAAGGGGGUAAGAAUAAUUCUAGGCUUUCUCAUACUUACUGCCUCAAAAUUUAUGUUCCUCAGAGGAGUCAUAUUUCUAAACAUUUUCAACCUCCAAAAUCUUAGCUUAAAAAAAUCUGCACAAAUUUGUUGGAAGAGAGUUUUUCAUUAUUGUUUUAAUGUGCAUUCCCGUAAUUACCACAGCAUUUUGCAUUUAUUUAUGUUUACAGACUACUUGGUAUCAUUUUAUAAAGAGCUUUUUCAUUUCAUUUAUUUUUUCCUAUUGGAGUUUUCACUAUUUCUAAUGUGUUUGUUAGGGACUUUUACUACCUUAAUUCUAUUUCUGUUCAUAUAUUUUUCAUGGAUUUCCUGUAUUUCUUUAAGUGUGUUUCCACAAUGAGCUUUUGAUAUGCAUAUUGUUAUAUUCAGUGGUUACAAGGAGAACAAUUAUACGCAUAGAAUGUAUAUUAUUAUUUUCUGAUGGUCACCCAGAGUUAAAUACAAGAAAGUGCAGGAAAUCUGUCCACAACACUAAAGACCUAGAAAAUCCAGCCAAUGGCGGUCUGGAUUCCACAGCAAUGUCCUGUAUCAGUUCAGAUGGAAACCUAGAGCCCGUGACAACGCCUCCCAUGAGUCUAACUGGAGGUCUAGAGCCCAUGAGGACUCACGAAAGUCUGUUUUAUGGAUCCAUGCUGGGAAGGUCCAAAGAUCAGCAGCGUAAGCCAGAAAAUCUGUGCUAGCAGAAUGAAGGAUCUGUGUCACCAAGCUGAGGGAUUUGCACUAGAGCCAAGAAGUGACUCUUAAAGUAAGCACCAGGGCUUUCCUAAAAAGCACCACAGCCAUCCUCAGUAACAAAGGUCCUGAGCUCCACCAAUGAUGGGAACAGUUGAGUACGUGUCAGGAGGCCAGUGUGACAACUUUUCUUGGAAAUUAAAUAGCACACAUCUUCCCUUCCAGAACGAGGAAGUGAUGCUCCAAGUAAGAACCAGGGCUCCUCUGAAGUGAACCAUAGCCAUUUUCAACAACAAGGUCCUGAGCUCCUCCGAUGACAAAUGGUUGAAUUCCUAUUGUGGAAGCCAGCAUGACAGGUUCUUCCAGGAGGACUAAUGGUUCCAAACAACAACACUUAGGAGCACUUAACAACCCUGCCCUUCCUUUCUCUGUCUUUUGUGCUGGCAACUUUCCUCAGUUAUGAGACCUGUAUAGUUUAACUUUCAUUGGGUACAUAUAUUCUUGAAGGAAGAAAAUAUGUGGAAAACCUGAGAAAGGCUGAUGUAUAACAUUUAGCAUGCACUAAUGGAGAAGUUUGAAGAUCGCCCUUCCACUCUGCUCCAGUGAGAAAUGCAAGAAAACUUCUUCACUGAAAGAAAAUUAAUGAGGCCCUAUAAUGAUACAAGAGACAAAGAACAAAGACCACGGUCUGUCUGUCAAGAGGUGCUUGAUGAAUCUUUAAGGCACCCAGAAGCAGGGAUUUCACUCAUAACGAAACUCACUUAGUAGGCUGCAUUCGCACUGAGGCAGCAAGAAGUUGCAACAGAGUUCAGCUGUUCAUGCCCUAUCACCUGUUGGUUGCUUAUGACAUCCUGAUCGAGUUCCAUAACACUGUGAUGAGAGAUGAAACCCUGGAAAUGGAAUAGAAGCGGUUCUUUCUGAUUUGAAAUGCAUCAUAUAAGUGGAAAGGAAGAAAGACUGGUAAGGACAACGUAGCCUAUCAACGUUACAACAGUGAUUUAAACCAUGUUCUUAAAGGUCACUAAAGAAAUACAAAAAGAGAGAGCUUCUAAGUCAAACAUCCAAUUUUAAGUACCAAUGAUUUCUGUAAUCAAAUAUCUUAAAUAUAUAUAUAUGUAUAUAUAUAUAUAUAUACAUAUUUAUAUGAUAGCUUGUAUAGUUUUUCACAACUGGAAAAAUGUAUUUUAUCAGAUAUAUUUCCCAUGAAUUAUUUUUUAAAAUCAUAUUAUUUUUUGGCAAAUAUGUACCAGAACAGCAAUGAGUCAAAUUCUGUUACAUCUUUGCAAUCUCACUCUCCCAAUCUUAGCUUAAGCCACCUCUAGUCUGAUUUUUGCCAUUCUCAAAUGUCAGAUAAAUAGAAGUAUGUGAAUAUUUAGUUUUCUGUCUUUUGUACCUUUCACAUAGUAUAAUAACUUUGUGAUUCAUCCAUGUUGCUGCAUGUACUUAUAAUCUGUUAUUUUUUAUUGCUGAAUAGUAUUUUAUACUUAAUAUUCACAAUUCAUUUAUCCAUUUGCCAGUCACUGAAAUAUUUGAAGUGUUUUUCAGUUUUGGGUAAAACUUCCAAAAUCAUUGGAAUAUGUACGGCUUUGAGUAAAGGGCAGUAAUGAACACAGUUUUAUAUGCUUAUAAUUCAUAUAUUUUCUUUCAUCAAUAUAGAAAAAAACUUGGGCCAUUUACAAAAAUUUACUUGCUUUAUUUUAUUUGGUUUUAAGAGUUUGUCAUGGUUUAUAUCUAGAUGUCUCUCCAAAGCCCCACGGGCUCAUAGAUGGAGCUUCUGCGGGUGAUUGAAUCGUGCAUGUGUGAUGCUGGAUCAUGAGUGUGUGAUACUGAAUUACUCCACUGGUGGGACUUUAACUGGGUGUGACUUUGAGGGGCAAAGCCUGGUGGGAAGAGGUGGGUCAGAGUGGGGAUGAUCUGGAAGGAUUUACACAGGUGUAAAUAUUCUUCCUCUUUCUUUAACAGUGCUUACCUGCUUCCUGCCUUUCACGCCAUGGAUUCUUGCCUCUCUGCGCUGCCACUCUGCCUUGGAGCUAGCUGACUAUUGCCUGAAACCUCUAAAAACUGUGGGCUAAAUAAGCCUCUCUUUUAACUUGUGGAUGCUGAGUAUCUUUGUCCAGCAACAAAAAGUAAUUAAGACAGUUUUUUGAGUAUUCCGGAUACAAACUGUUCAGCAGAUUUUAUUUUGCAAAUAGUUUCUCUGAGAUUAUUGCUUGAAUUUUUUCCCAUUAUUUCAGUUAUUUCAAAGUUCAGAAGAUUUCAAUUUUCUGAAAAGUACAAUUUAUUAAUUUCUGCUUUUAUAUGUCAUUUUUGUGACUUAUAAAAAAUAGUUGUUUAUCCAGUCUCACAGAGACUUUCUCUUAUAUAUUUGUUUUACCUACCUUAAGCUCUGCUUUAUAUCUGAAUUGCAUUCUGUGCCCAAAGGUAUUUAUUUUGCUUUCUCCUCUUAGAAGGGCAACUAUUUUUUUUGUUUUAAUUUGUCUUGUAUCAUCAAUCAAUUUGUCUUAUAUCAUCAAUCUAUUGAUAAAGUAAGAAAAAUUUAUGAUUUUGUAAAUCAUCUAGAUGUUUUAUAUUUUGAGAGUGCGAGUGGCAUUCUAUUGGAUCCCACAUUUUACCUUCAAGUAGAAUUCUCAUGAGAAAUAUUUUAUUUUAUUUUUUAUUUUAAAAAAGUUUUUUGGUGCCUUGUGUUUGCCACAUAGGCACUUGUACCACUGAGCUAUUUCCCCAACCAAGAGAAAUAUUUUAAAAUCUGGGGAAAUUCCUGAUGAAUUUAAUAGCCAUUUCCAAAUCUGGAAAAUACUGAAUGUAUAAAAUUAUAUAUACAAUAGAGUCUGGUUUGGUUACUUUCUCAUUACUGGAGACCCAUAAUUUACAUUAGGAAAGAUUUCUUUUGAAUCAAUUUGUAGAGAUUUCAGCUGUAGUCAGCUGGCUGUGAGGUGGAGCAGCAUGACAAGGGGGCAUGGCAGGAGAGCUUGCAGCAUGGCAGGCAGGAAGCAGAACGGGACAGAUGAGGAAGAGGAAUAUCAUACCCUCCAGGCCAGCCCACAGCGACCCACCUCUUCCCACUAGGCUUCAGCUCUCAGCAUCACACCCAGUCAUAAACUCAGCAGUGGACUAGUUCACUGUCCACUCAUAAGUAACAUGGCCCCCAUGGUCCAGUCACUGCCCCAACUCUUACCUUUGAAGGCAUGAAACUUUGGAGGAUGUUUUAGAGGUGUGACCUCAAGACCUUCCUCUGGUUGGGGGAGGUACUAAAAAGUUGUUUAGUUCCGUUCCCUUCCUGUCCUACUUCUCAAAUCCCCUAUUCAUUUUUCGAGGAAUAGAAAAAGCAGUCACUUUUGUAUAAAUCUUUAGAGUCUUCAUCUAUACAACCCAACCAAAAGCAUAAAUCAAAACUAAAAUAGAAAAGCACAAAAAUAUUAGCUGAGUACAUAGACUAGAAAUUUAUCCAUAAACAAUUUUACUGUGUAUCGGAAGGAUAGCCCUUGCAUAUUCAUUUACUCCUCCACUCCUCCUUCCCUUCUCUUCACCUCUUCACUCUCCCCCAGACCAGACUCCUCCUCUUUACUGCUGUCAGCUAAGACCCAAAGGCCACUUUCUCCCAUUGCUGUGUUCACUAAAACAUCAGCCCCUCUGGAAGAUGUGCUGUUAGAAAAUGACCAUUUAAUAUGUUUAUUUCUAUGUAUGUAACAGGGCACUGAAUUUUCAGGGACUGGCCAAACAUUUUUUCAUCAUAGGAAAACACCCUUUAAAACAAAAGGCUAAAUAUGACUGUUCCUCAUAUCUAAGGAAGACUUCACAAGGUUUGUCUUCUUGAGGCACUGCUUAAUUCAAGACAGGAUUUGUUUUCCAGUCCAAAUUAUGCAAUUUAUAUCUUAUUUUAAUAAAAUUGUGUUCACUUCUCUA